CUCUAGGCCCGAGAGAGGACAGAGGAGGCGAGUAGCCAUUAUGCCUUUUCAUCAGCGAGAGCUAUGACUGGCCCGAUGUCUGAAGUGGGUUACCGCAUGGGUUGCCAAGGUUUGUCAUCACCCAGCUAAGCUCUGCUGCAGGGGUACAGCCAUCACCAUCCUCAUCAAGGACCGGGAUGCUUCUCCAGUGGUCUGUGCCAUUACCACCCGCAUCUGCCUCAUUAAUCAUGCCCCUGGCUCUGCUUCUGAGGGAUUCUGCACAACAGACUUCACGGCAGAGCCCAGGUCCUUUGUUGUCUUAGUUCCAUAUCCUCCUUGUCAUCUUUGAAUUCUGCAGUCUGCUCUCCAGGAGAGCUAUCUUUCGUGUGGAUUAUUAAGAAUCUGGAGAGGAGCCAGUGAGAUGUACUAACGGUGCCUU